rnacentral:tRNA from 1 species
GGGGCCGUCGUCUAGCUUGGCAGGAUGCGGGGUUUGGGACCCCGUGGUCCCGGGUUCAAAUCCCGGCGGCCCCACCA